rnacentral:rRNA from 1 species
AGAGUUUGAUCAUGGCUCAGAUUGAACGCUGGCGGCAGGCCUAACACAUGCAAGUCGAACGGUAACAGGAAACAGCUUGCUGUUUCGCUGACGAGUGGCGGACGGGUGAGUAAUGUCUGGGAAACUGCCUGAUGGAGGGGGAUAACUACUGGAAACGGUAGCUAAUACCGCAUAACGUCGCAAGACCAAAGAGGGGGACCUUCGGGCCUCUUGCCAUCGGAUGUGCCCAGAUGGGAUUAGCUAGUAGGUGGGGUAACGGCUCACCUAGGCGACGAUCCCUAGCUGGUCUGAGAGGAUGACCAGCCACACUGGAACUGAGACACGGUCCAGACUCCUACGGGAGGCAGCAGUGGGGAAUAUUGCACAAUGGGCGCAAGCCUGAUGCAGCCAUGCCGCGUGUAUGAAGAAGGCCUUCGGGUUGUAAAGUACUUUCAGCGGGGAGGAAGGGAGUAAAGUUAAUACCUUUGCUCAUUGACGUUACCCGCAGAAGAAGCACCGGCUAACUCCGUGCCAGCAGCCGCGGUAAUACGGAGGGUGCAAGCGUUAAUCGGAAUUACUGGGCGUAAAGCGCACGCAGGCGGUUUGUUAAGUCAGAUGUGAAAUCCCCGGGCUCAACCUGGGAACUGCAUCUGAUACUGGCAAGCUUGAGUCUCGUAGAGGGGGGUAGAAUUCCAGGUGUAGCGGUGAAAUGCGUAGAGAUCUGGAGGAAUACCGGUGGCGAAGGCGGCCCCCUGGACGAAGACUGACGCUCAGGUGCGAAAGCGUGGGGAGCAAACAGGAUUAGAUACCCUGGUAGUCCACGCCGUAAACGAUGUCGACUUGGAGGUUGUGCCCUUGAGGCGUGGCUUCCGGAGCUAACGCGUUAAGUCGACCGCCUGGGGAGUACGGCCGCAAGGUUAAAACUCAAAUGAAUUGACGGGGGCCCGCACAAGCGGUGGAGCAUGUGGUUUAAUUCGAUGCAACGCGAAGAACCUUACCUGGUCUUGACAUCCACAGAACUUUCCAGAGAUGGAUUGGUGCCUUCGGGAACUGUGAGACAGGUGCUGCAUGGCUGUCGUCAGCUCGUGUUGUGAAAUGUUGGGUUAAGUCCCGCAACGAGCGCAACCCUUAUCCUUUGUUGCCAGCGGUCCGGCCGGGAACUCAAAGGAGACUGCCAGUGAUAAACUGGAGGAAGGUGGGGAUGACGUCAAGUCAUCAUG